UGCUUAAGAGGAAGGGAAAAUGUUAAUGACACCAGGAGAGAAUUGUGAGAAGCACUUUCAUGGGUGUUAGUGAGACAAAUCUUAUUCUUUAACCUUGAGAUGACAACAAACUGAAGAGUAGUUCUGCAAUUUGGGCCAUGUAUUCCCUGAAUGCACUUUAAUGCACGAAAUAUCAAAAGUUAACAAGCAUGACAAGUCUUAACAAGACACAGGCAAAUAAGGUAACAGAUCUCAGUAUAGCUAACCAUCCUUACAUCCAUAAAAAAUCCUUAGGUCCUAGCACUACAAGACACGGGCAAAUAAGGUAACAGAUCUCAGUAUAGCUAACCAUCCUUACAUCCAUAAAAAAUCCUUAGGUCCUAGCACAGAAAUCACAUUAGACUAGGACCCACAUCAUGCUUUAUUUAUGAAAAUCUCUAUAUUAUCUUGCUAAUGAGAUCACAUACGAUAUAGAAGAAUAAAGUGCU
rnacentral:lncRNA from 1 species